rnacentral:lncRNA from 1 species
UAUUCGAGGUAUGUUAUUUAUAUUUAGCUCAAGGGAAUGAAUUAAGGACUUAAACAAUGAGAUUAACUUGCAAAACAUGACUACUUAUGAGUGAUUGGGUUGCAUAGUCACAUAUUUGAUAGAAGGGUUAACGAUAGAUAUAUGAUAUAUAUAAUAUAGAAACCUAGGGAAUAUAGAGACUAGAUAUAGACUACUCAGCUUAAUAUUAGGCACACGUCUGAUUAGUUCAAGAGAUAGAAAAUCCUAUGUAGUUCUAAUUUGUCAAGUCAUUCAUCU